GACGAACGCUGGCGGCGUGCUUAACACAUGCAAGUCGAACGGAAAGGCCCUGCUUUUGUUGGGUUCUCGAGUGGCGAACGGGUGUGUAUAACGUGAGUAUCCUGCCCUUGACUUUGGGAUAACUUCAGUGAAAUGGGGCUAUUACCCGAUAGGAGCUCCUGCUGCAUGGUGGGGGUUGGAAAGUUUCGGUGGUUGGGGAUGGCCUCGCGGAUUUUCAGCUUGUUGGUGGGGAAGUGGCUUACCAAGGCUUUGACGGGUAGCCGGCCUGAGAGGGUGACCGGCCACAGUGGGACUGAGAUAGGGGCAGGAGUGCAACGGGAGGCAGCAGGGGGGAAUAUUGCACGAUGGGCGGAAGCCGGAUGCAGGAACGCCGCGUGCGGGAUGACGGCCUUCGGGUUGGAAACCGCUUUCGCCUGUGACGAAGCGUGAGUGACGGUAAUGGGUAAAGAAGCACCGGCUAACUACGUG
rnacentral:rRNA from 1 species